rnacentral:rRNA from 1 species
GGGACCCGUAUGAAAGGUCACAUGAGAAAGAACCUGUCUCCCAAGGCCAGUCAAUGAAACUGAUCUGCCAGUACAAAAGCUGGCAUAAAAAAAUAGGACAAAAAGACCCUGUGAACUUAAAAUUUGUUAUACAACACCUAAUUGAAUAAAAUUUUUAGUUGGGGCAACUUAAGAAAAACAAAACUUCUUCACCACAACCAAGGCCAACAAGCCUAAGACCACAACCACACCUUCAUGACCCAGUACAACUGAUCAAAGAACCAAGCUACUCCAGGGAUAACAGCGCUACACUCUUGAAAAGUCCAUAUUAACAAGAGUACCUACGACCUCGAUGUUGGAUCAGGGCAACCCGAUGGUGAAAAAG